rnacentral:lncRNA from 11 species
GCUUUGCCAGGAUGGGAGGGGGCUUCGGGAAUGGAUGGAGGAGGCUGCCAAAGAAGAAAGAAGAGAAGUUGCUGCCACCAGGCACCCACUCUUGCUUGAUUUGCGAAGCUGCUCACACACUGUGCCUCUGUCUCAGUGUCCUGUUUUGUCUUUCAAGAACAGCCUUAAAACAUUGUGGUGUUAAGAAGCAAAAUACAUCAAUAACUCCCAUCCUGCAACAUUCAUAUUGCCUACCUUGGUGCAAUUUCAGUCCUUCCUCUUCUCUGACAGCUUGACAUUAAUGUAUGGACUUCUAUCCCUCUUCUCCUUCUCCCUCAUUAUUCCAAAGCUGUCCAUUUUCUGUUCUUGUUUUAUAUUUCAUUGUUAUAAUUGAUUUUUUUAAAAAAAACUGCAAUUGUGGAAUUGCUCUAAAAUAAAAUAAUAUUUUAAUAGUACAGGACAGUGGUAGUGCAGAAAUUACAA